UUUGUACUCCCUCCGUCCGGAAAUACUUGUCAUCAAAAUGGAUAAAAGAAGAUGUAUCUAGAUGUAUUUUAGUUCUAGAUACAUCUCUUUUUAUCCAUUUUGAUGACAAGUAUUUUCGGACGGAGGGAGUACUUC
rnacentral:pre_miRNA from 1 species